GACGAACGCUGGCGGCGUGCUUAACACAUGCAAGUCGAACGGAAAGGCCCUGCUUGCCGGGUGCUCGAGUGGCGAACGGGUGAGUAACACGUGGGUGAUCCGCCCCUUACUUUGGGAUAAGCCUGGGAAACUGGGUCUAAUACUGGAUAGGACCAUGCUGUAGGUGGUGUGGUGGAAAGAUUAGUUUCGGUAAGGGAUGAGCUCGCGGCCUAUCAGCUUGUUGGUGGGGUAAUGGCCUACCAAGGCGUCGACGGGUAGCCGGCCUGAGAGGGUGGACGGCCACAUUGGGACUGAGAUACGGCCCAGACUCCUACGGGAGGCAGCAGUGGGGAAUAUUGCACAAUGGGCGCAAGCCUGAUGCAGCGACGCCGCGUGGGGGAUGACGGCCUUCGGGUUGUAAACUCCUUUCAGCCAUGACGAAGCCCUUGUGGUGACGGUAGUGGUAGAAGAAGCACCGGCUAACUACGUG
rnacentral:rRNA from 1 species